GGGGUUGUGGCUUAGCAGUAAAGCGCUCGUCUAGCACAUGCGAGGCCCUGGGUUCGAUCCUCAGCACCA
rnacentral:tRNA from 1 species